rnacentral:rRNA from 1 species
GAUGAACGCUAGCGGGAGGCCUAACACAUGCAAGCCGAGCGGUAUUGUUUCUUCGGAAAUGAGAGAGCGGCGUACGGGUGCGGAACACGUGUGCAACCUGCCUUUAUCUGGGGGAUAGCCUUUCGAAAGGAAGAUUAAUACUCCAUAAUAUAUUGAACGGCAUCGUUUAAUAUUGAAAGCUCCGGCGGAUAGAGAUGGGCACGCGCAAGAUUAACUAGUUGGUGAGGUAACGGCUCACCAAGGCGAUGAUCUUUAGGGGGCCUGAGAGGGUGAUCCCCCACACUGGUACUGAGACACGGACCAGACUCCUACGGGAGGCAGCAGUGAGGAAUAUUGGUCAAUGGGUGCAAGCCUGAACCAGCCAUCCCGCGUGAAGGACGACUGCCCUAUGGGUUGUAAACUUCUUUUGUAUAGGGAUAAACCUACCCUCGUGAGGGUAGCUGAAGGUACUAUACGAAUAAGCACCGGCUAACUCCGUGCCAGCAGCCGCGGUAAUACGGAGGGUGCAAGCGUUAUCCGGAUUUAUUGGGUUUAAAGGGUCCGUAGGCGGACUUAUAAGUCAGUGGUGAAAGCCUGUCGCUUAACGAUAGAACUGCCAUUGAUACUGUAAGUCUUGAGUAUAUUUGAGGUAGCUGGAAUAAGUAGUGUAGCGGUGAAAUGCAUAGAUAUUACUUAGAACACCAAUUGCGAAGGCAGGUUACCAAGAUAUAACUGACGCUGAGGGACGAAAGCGUGGGGAGCGAACAGGAUUAGAUACCCUGGUAGUCCACGCCGUAAACGAUGCUAACUCGUUUUUGGGCUUUAGGGUUCAGAGACCAAGCGAAAGUGAUAAGUUAGCCACCUGGGGAGUACGCUCGCAAGAGUGAAACUCAAGGGAAUUGACGGGGCCCGCACAAGCGGUGGAUUAUGUGGUUUAAUUCGAUGAUACGCGAGGAACCUUACCAAGACUUAAAUGGGAAUUGACAGCUUUAGAAAUAGAGCUUUCUUCGGACAAUUUUCAAGGUGCUGCAUGGUUGUCGUCAGCUCGUGCCGUGAGGUGUUAGGUUAAGUCCUGCAACGAGCGCAACCCCUGUCACUAGUUGCCAUCAUUCAGUUGGGGACUCUAGUGAGACUGCCUACGCAAGUAGAGAGGAAGGUGGGGAUGACGUCAAAUCAUCACGGCCCUUACGUCUUGGGCCACACACGUAAUACAAUGGCCGGUACAGAGGGCAGCUACACAGCGAUGUGAUGCAAAUCUCGAAAGCCGGUCUCAGUUCGGAUUGGAGUCUGCAACUCGACUCUAUGAAGCUGGAAUCGCUAGUAAUCGCGCAUCAGCCAUGGCGCGGUGAAUACGUUCCCGGGCCU